GUCCAAACUCUUGCCACGAACCGAGCGACUGCAGGCUUAUCCCCGACUUGCUCUCGUCUUCCUAACCAAUAAAUGAAGGAGAGAGAAAGUGAGAGAAACAGAGAGAGAAAAACAAAAUUAGGUUUAAUUUCAUUUGUGUGUUUCUCUUGAAUCAACCGAAGAGGAGGGACCCGACACCUCUGGGGUUAGGGUUUUAAGAUUUUUUAAAAUUGAUAAAGCCUGUCAAGUCCGCCAUCGGUCUUAGAAAUCCUGCUUACUGUUAAGGCCACUGGUUGGUUCAAAAGGUUGUUUCCUUUUAACCAUGAAAUUACUAUUUCUUCUUAUCUCUUAGUGCUGUUAGCGUGGUUUGAAAUAACUGUUUUCUUAGCUUUUUAUCGAUUUCUCAUAAAAAGGAAAGUAAGUAUAUAAAGAAAUUGUAUGUUAGAGAAAUAGUUGGUUGUAUGAGAUACAGGGUUUCAUAUUUGAUGGAUGAGAUCUGGGAGAGAGCCGUGGAAACAGCUUUAGACGGUCAAACGGACCAUAGCGCGGCACGGACCUUAACUCUAGACGGCGCGGUGAAGUGUGUACAGGGACGGUUGCCACCGCCGAGUCUUCUAGAGAGAUACGAGAAUCUUGAGCUUCUUUCGAUUGCGAAUACGGGAGUUUCAACGCUAGAGCAGUUUCCACGACUGAAAAACCUUGAGAAACUUAUCCUCUCUGACAACCGCAUCGCAGGAGGCCUAGAAUUUCUGGUUCAAGCGGGCUUGGACUCCCUUCGCGACCUUGAUUUGUCCAACAACCGGAUCCAGUUUAUUGAAGAUCUAGCGCCCUUGGCUCAACUGAAGCUCGUUUCUCUCGAUCUGUAUGAGUGUCCUGUCACCAGAGUGAAAGAUUAUCGAUCUAGGGUUUUUGCGAUGAUCAAGUCCUUGAAGUACUUGGAUAAGAUGGAUGCAGAGGAGAAUGAGAGGCCUGAAUCUGAUGAUGAGGAGGAAGAUGACGAUGAAGAUGAUGAGGAUGACCCUGGGAGCGGAGAAGUUGAUGGUGAGGAUAGGCUUUUUAGGAGGGAUAAUGGGCACAGUGAAAAUAUAGAGGGGAUUGUGGAUGCUGAUGAGGAUGAAGAGAGUGAUGCUGAUGAAGAAGAGACUGAGACUGCUCGACAGCCUAACGAGACGAGCCAUCAGACAAAUGGAUAUGAAAAUGUGAAUGGGGAAUAUGUAGAUUUUGAAGAUGAGGGUUACGAUGAUGAGGAAAUUGAAUCUGGAGAGGAGAUUUUUGAGGAAGAAGAUGUAGCCGCCAUUGGGGAAAGUGACGAUGAGGAAGAUGGAGUUGAGGAAGAUGAUGAGGAUGAUAAUGAUAACGAUGAUGAUAAUGAAAAUGAUGAUGAAGAAGAAGAAGAGGAAGUCGAUAAUGAUGAGAUAGAUGGGUAUUUGGCUUACCCUGAGAGUACGGGGAGGUUGACAAGCACAGAAGGAGAGAUUGAUGGCCAUGAGCAUGGGGAGGAAGAUGGUGACGAUGAUGGGGAGACUGGAGAGGAGGAGCAAGCUGUUGAGGAUGAUGUGGAGUUUGAAGUUGAAGAUGAAGAAGAGGCUGAAGAGGAGGAUGAAGACUAUGGUGCAGGGUACCUAGUUCAGCCAGUGGAACAGGCCGAAGAAGAUGAUGGUGGAGGGAGUGAUAUGGAGGCAGGGAAUGAAGAGGAAGUUGAAGAAGAAGAAGUACAAGAUGACGAAGGAGUUCAAGAUUUGCCUGCAUCUUCGUCACAACUGAAGAGAAAGAGAGGUGAUGAUGUUGAAGAAGAUGACAGUGGUGAGGAUGAUGAGGAUGUUGUUGAAUCACCAUCAAAGAAGCGCCAUUAGCUGUUUUCCAUCUCAUGAUUAGAUGUUUAUUAAUCUUGGCUGUCUUCUUGGACAAUGGCGAUGUUUAGGAAGAUAGAUAGAUACAGAAAGAAACUGUUAUCUUGGGUGGAACCUUCGAUUCAAAAGGUCUGUUGGACAGGUGGCAAUAUGUUGAUAAUAACGAAGGGGCUUCAUCGGUCCAUACUGAUUCCUGAAAUGUUCCCUUGGAAGGUUUUUGAGUCGUGUGAUGUAUGGGGCCUGUUAGCAUGAUAGGCAUUGAUAGAUCAUCGAACGGUUAAGGCUCUGUGUAGAGGUGCUCCUGAGUAGUUUGGAAGAUUAAUUGCCUCCCUCAACUAUACGCUUUCCAUAUAAAGCAUUUGCACGGCUAUUUAAAUAUUGAUGCAGCGAAUCUGAUUGUUGGACUCUCUCUGCACGGCCCAGCUCAAGCUCCAGAUUCAUUCAAGCUCAAAAAUUGACCCAUUUGUAGCAGAUGAAGCCCGCAUUGUUGACGAGUUCAUUAAUCACUGGUUUGAGGAGCCAACCAGAAAACCGGCUGAGUUACCCGGUUUUUCUGGCUUGACUGGCUGUCACUUUUCUGCCACGUGUCGUGAAGUCAUUGUUUUUCAUUUUAUUCAGGCUCCAUCCAUAUAUGUGAUUUUCAAAUUGAAGUUGUUACAGUAUCACGUAAAUCUGAUUGUUAUACGGGUUACUUUGGGUCCAAUAAACAUCUGCUAUUUUUUUAAAGAUUAUUUUUAAUUAAAAAUGGGACCCACAACCCUUCUGUUUA